AUCAUCCUUUUCUUGGGGUUGUGCUGCUGUCCAAUGAGCACAUAGUGAGGGCAGUACUGGUAACUCCUAACCAACACACCCGCAUCAGCUAGAGCUUUGCUUUAUUUUACUUUGGUGCAAUUUUUGGAAAA
rnacentral:ncRNA from 1 species